rnacentral:lncRNA from 1 species
CAGGAACAACAUCUAAUGGCUGCAUAUUCCCAGGACAGUGGAGAGAUGGACAGCCACAAGGACAGCCUCCUUUAGAUUGUGGGAUGGAGCCGGCACCUCUGAGGGGAUGAGAUUUACACGGAGACCAAAGGGACGCAGCUGCUUGCAGAAUGGGAGAAAGAGAAGCUGAAGCCAAGGGAACAUGUACAACGCCUCCAAGACAAGAAAAUCAUGGAGCAGAAGACUCCUCUGGUCUCCAAGGCCAACAGGCUCCCCGUCCUCCGUGGUCCUUAGCUCUGCUGUAGUUUCAAAUACACCUGCAGCUUUCAGCCGCCCACCUCAAACAGGAAUACCAAGUACAGCCUGAAAGGGGUAUUUAUGCCCUCCAGACAACCUUUAAUUUGGAGGGCACAAAUGCAGCCUCCUAUCUGUUAACAGCUUUGGGAGACACCCAGUGUCAGUCUCAGGAGCGCUCAGCAACCCACAGAGUGCUUGCUUUUUGUUGUCUCCUUCUCUGUCCCACUCUCCUCUUUGAUUCCUGCCCAGUCUUCAGCCAUGUCAUUUCAAAGACGCAGGCGUUAAAGGAAUUGAUAAAAGAUCAGAAAUAGAGUAAGCACGGAGAGUCAAACAAGACGGGGUUGGAAUUGUGGGGUGGCGCCAGAGCACAGAGUUGGAGGCCACAGUGAGCAUGUGCCCUCUGUUUCUUGGCAGAGAGCAGGCGCUGUUGGGACAGACACAGUAGGUAGUCCAGGCAGCAGAGAACAGGGCUUCCCACUGUGAGGUUAACUGAGCCGAAGAAAUGAAACGGGCAGUUUGCGAUAUAUUUAAAAGCAGGAUGGCUGACACUUGCUUAUUAAUUGGCUGAAAAAAAAAAAAAAAAAAAAAAGCAGAGGGAGGACCAGCGAUGAUUUUUUGUUUGAGGAACUGAAUGGAUGGCAGUAGCCUGAGAGUGGAAGGAACAAGAUUGGGCAGAAGUCCAGCAUGCUGGAAUCUCCCAAGAUCCCAGACCCCUAAGUGAGCUCACACCUUAGGAGAAUUCACCGUAGGUGUGCUUUGUCUUACUCUGCCUCUAGGCAUUCCAGGCCCAUUACCUGGGUCCAGGACGCUGGAAACUGUUGCUGGGGAAUCCUGAGGUAGGUGGGCUUUCUCUUCUCUAUCUCUG